GUUCCUCGGGGACAUCCAAUAAAAUUGGAACGAUUGAGUGAAUAUUAGCAUGGGCCAUAGCAAGGAUCACACACAAAAAUCGAGAAAUUGUAACUUAUACU